rnacentral:rRNA from 1 species
CACGUAGUUAGCCGUCCCUUUCUGGUAAGAUACCGUCACAGUGUGGACUUUCCACUCUCACACUCGUUCUUCUCUUACAACAGAGCUUUACGAUCCGAAAAACCUUCUUCACUCACGCGGCGUUGCUCGGUCAGACUUCCGUCCAUUGCCGAAGAUUCCCUACUGCUGCCUCCCGUAGGAGUCUGGGCCGUGUCUCAGUCCCAGUGUGGCCGAUCACCCUCUCAGGUCGGCUAUGUAUCGUCGCCUUGGUGAGCCGUUACCUCACCAACUAGCUAAUACAACGCAGGUCCAUCUGGUAGUGGUGCAAUUGCACCUUUCAAGCAACUAUCAUGCGAUAUCUACUGUUAUGCGGUAUCAGCUAUCGUUUCCAAUUAGUUACUCCCCCGCUACCAGGCAGGUUACCCUACGCGUUACUCACCCGUUCGCAACUCACUCCAGAGAAGCAAGCUCCUCCUUCAGUCCGUUCUACUUGCAUGUAUUACGGCACGCCGC